rnacentral:rRNA from 1 species
CGUAGCCACGGUAAUACGGAGGGUGCAAGCGUUAAUCGGAAUUACUGGGCGUAAAGCGUGCGUAGGCGGUUCGUUAAGUCUGUUGUGAAAGCCCCGGGCUCAACCUGGGAAUGGCAAUGGAUACUGGCGAGCUAGAGUGUGUCAGAGGAUGGUGGAAUUCCCGGUGUAGCGGUGAAAUGCGUAGAGAUCGGGAGGAACAUCAGUGGCGAAGGCGGCCAUCUGGGACAACACUGACGCUGAAGCACGAAAGCGUGGGGAGCAAACAGGAUUAGAUACCCGGGUAGUCCCUGUCUCUUAUACA